ensembl:lncRNA SVIL-AS1 SVIL antisense RNA 1
GAAUUCUGGGAGUGCGCGGCCUUGGAGCGCGCACAUGCGCGGCAGCUCCCGCUGCUGAAUAGCUGAGAGGCGCACCCGGGCGGCCAGCUGGGCUCGGAGUGCAGCGGGGUUAGGAUGGACGAGGACGUGUUGCACCCUGAAGAGCCUCAUCAUCGGUGAGAGUGGGGUGGGCAAGUCCAGCCUGCUCUUGAGGUUCACAGAUGAUACCUUUGAUCCAGAACUUGCAGCAACAAUAGGAGCAAUGGAAGGAACUUCUAGAGUCCCCUCUCUUUCCUGCCUCUUCUACAUUUCCACAGACUGCACACUCACGGCAGCAGCCUCUCAGCACACAAAAGGAACGUAGGAACCGUGAAGGGCGUGAUGAGCUGACCAUAACGCCGGCUCCUUUCUGCCUUUGGUGCUAAAGAUGGAAGGUUCCGGCACCUGCUCUCCUGGGUACCUCUCCGUCAGCAAGGCUAGAGCUACUCCGUGCAGCAAGCGCCCCUGUUCAGGCCCCACGUGUCAUGACUGUCUGUCCUUCUCCAAGGCAGCAUUCAGACACCCCGCAAGCAGUGGGCAUGUCAAGCCUCCUCAGCUACUGGGGGAAUCCCUCAAGACAGACCAGGUUUAAGGCGCCUCACCCACCACAUCUGAGCACAGCCGGCGGGUGACUGAAAACAGUGCCAGCCCUCGGGAAGGAACGAACCGAGGGGUCGUCAGAGGCUGUCUGAGAAACACCUGACCUCAACAGAACCUGAGAUUGCCCAGUGUGGGCUACAAAGGCCUAAAAUAGAUCCGCUUAUUUUAGCUUCAAAGAGCUUAUUGUCUCCAGCCAAAGGGAAGCAGGCCACUGAGAAGAGUGGGAGAGUUCACCGUCUGCAGAAACAGCAGCCUCCACGCGCCCAGAGGCAGCAUUUCCCAUUCCAGCCCUAGCCUGCUUGCAAGUCCCGGGGCUUCAGGUCACUGGAUUAUCAACCCCAAGGGCAACUGCAGUCAACUGGCCUCUCUUGCCUUCUAAAAACCUUAGCCAGCGUUCAGGUGGUUCGGAUCUCAUCCUCCACUCAAAGCCUUCUGGCUUCCACACCUAAGGUGAUCCUCCAUUCUUCUAAGGGGGCAGUGCACCCAUUUCACUAUUCACCAGGAACCUCUUUUGCUUCGUGCUUUUUGGCUUCAUUUAAAUUUCCACUGGCUCUCUGGGACUCCCAGUUCCUGAUGGGCCGGGGAGUCUCUGCACCUUCCAAAAUGAUGGACAAGGGGCCAGGCGCUGCUUGGUGCCAGGACAUAGUAGUUGGCAGGUUUGCUAAUGAGGAAUGUGUUAAAGUCAUUUUUGAAGCAAUGAUUUCAAGAUUCUUUUAAAUAAAGUUUGCGGGUAGCAGGGAUACAUAAUUUGACAGAUGGAUUUUCACUUCAGGAUCACAUUUUUGAAAUCUGAAUUUCACACGGUGUGUGAAAAAUAUGCACAUGCAUAUACUUUCUAAAUAUCUAGUUAUAUUUGAGAAUUUUACAAAUGGCCAAGGCUUAAAUGUCUUUAGUUAAAUCAUCUUUAACACCAUGUAUGUCUCAAAGAAGAGAAUUCAAAUUGCCAUUCCAGUGAAACCUAAGAAGACACAGAAGUAUCAGAGGAAAUAGUGUCAGAACUCCUGACUCACACUUCUAUGUGCACAUCUCAUUUUUAUGUACGUUUCUUAAUGCAUGAAAGUCACACUCAUCAUCUCUCCCUUCCACAGAUGCUUAACUUAUUUUAGAGCUAGAAGGGGCCUGGGGAUCAUCGGGUUGAAAGCAUUCUUUUUCUUUUCUACUUGAAGACUUCUGAUCCUAGAAAGUGACCAGGGAGUGUGUCACCGGUGCAUCAUUUCGCCUCCAGCCAGAAGGUGCAUUUGCAAUUGUAGGGCCAGCCAGCAAGUAAGUCACCAUCAGUUUCAAAAGUGUGCACUACCUGGUCAAAAGCUGGUCAUCAUCACAUCUGUGAUUUAACAAUUCAUCAAUACUUUCGCAUAUGAAAUGCUUGCUAGUAUUGAUCACCAUGCAUUACCUAAUUUUGUUUCAACUUAUACAUUACUGUACAUUCUCAAUAAAAGGCAUAGCUACUCAUGAAA